rnacentral:rRNA from 1 species
GUAGGGGGGGCGAGCGUUGUCCGGAUUUAUUGGGGCGUAAAGAGCUCGUAGGGCGGCUUGGCAAGUCGGGUCGUGAAAUCCCGAGGCUCAACCUCGGAUCGUCGGUCGAAACUGCCAUGGCUAGGGUCCGGUAGAGGAGAGUGGAAUUCCCGGUGUAGCGGUGAAAUGCGCAGAUAUCGGGAGGAACACCAGUAGCGAAGGCGGCUCUCUGGGCCGGUACCGACGCUGAGGAGCGAAAGCGUGGGGAGCAAACAGGAUUAGAUACCCUGGUAGUCCACGCCGUAAACGUUGGGUACUAGGUGUGGCGAGUUGUACCAACACUUGCCGUGCCGCAGCUAACGCAUUAAGUACCCCGCCUGGGGAGUACGGUCGCAAGGCUA